GAUGAACGCUGGCGGCGUGCUUAACACAUGCAAGUCGAGCGAAGCAGUUAAGUUGAUUUCUUCGGAUUGAUUCUUAACUGACUGAGCGGCGGACGGGUGAGUAACGCGUGGGUGACCUGCCCCAUACCGGGGGAUAACAGCUGGAAACGGCUGCUAAUACCGCAUAAGCGCACAGAGCUGCAUGGCUCGGUGUGAAAAACUCCGGUGGUAUGGGAUGGGCCCGCGUCUGAUUAGGCAGUUGGCGGGGUAACGGCCCACCAAACCGACGAUCAGUAGCCGGCCUGAGAGGGCGACCGGCCACAUUGGGACUGGGACACGGCCCAAACUCCUACGGGAGGCAGCAGUGGGGAAUAUUGCACAAUGGGGGAAACCCUGAUGCAGCGACGCCGCGUGAGCGAAGAAGUAUUUCGGUAUGUAAAGCUCUAUCAGCAGGGAAGAUAAUGACGGUACCUGACUAAGAAGCCCCGGCUAA
rnacentral:rRNA from 1 species